rnacentral:rRNA from 1 species
ACGGGUGAGUAACACGUAAGGAACCUGCCUCAAGGAUUGGGAUAACUCCGAGAAAUCGGAGCUAAUACCGGAUAGUUCAACGGACCGCAUGGUCCGCUGAUGAAAGGCGCUUCGGCGUCACCUUGAGAUGGCCUUGCGGUGCAUUAGCUAGUUGGUGGGGUAACGGCCCACCAAGGCGACGAUGCAUAGCCGACCUGAGAGGGUGAUCGGCCACACUGGGACUGAGACACGGCCCAGACUCCUACGGGAGGCAGCAGUAGGGAAUCUUCCACAAUGGACGAAAGUCUGAUGGAGCAACGCCGCGUGAGUGAUGAAGGUUUUCGGAUCGUAAAACUCUGUUGUAAGGGAAGAACACGUACGAGAGGGAAUGCUCGUACCUUGACGGUACCUUACGAGAAAGCCACGGCUAACUACGUGCCAGCAGCCGCGGUAAUACGUAGGUGGCAAGCGUUGUCCGGAAUUAUUGGGCGUAAAGCGCGCGCAGGCGGCCUUUUAAGUCUGAUGUGAAAGCCCCCGGCUCAACCGGGGAGGGCCAUUGGAAACUGGAAGGCUUGAGUACAGAAGAGA